rnacentral:rRNA from 1 species
AGUGAACGCUGGCGGUAGGCCUAACACAUGCGAGUCGAACGGCAGCACAGUAAGAGCUUGCUCUUACGGGUGGCGAGUGGCGGACGGGUGAGGAAUACAUCGGAAUCUACUUUUUCGUGGGGGAUAACGUAGGGAAACUUACGCUAAUACCGCAUACGACCUACGGGUGAAAGCAGGGGAUCUUCGGACCUUGCGCGAUUGAAUGAGCCGAUGUCGGAUUAGCUAGUUGGCGGGGUAAAGGCCCACCAAGGCGACGAUCCGUAGCUGGUCUGAGAGGAUGAUCAGCCACACUGGAACUGAGACACGGUCCAGACUCCUACGAGAGGCAGCAGUGGGGAAUAUUGGACAAUGGGCGCAAGCCUGAUCCAGCCAUACCGCGUGGGUGAAGAAGGCCUUCGGGUUGUGAAGCCCUUUUGUGGGGAAAGAAAAGCAGCAGGUUAAUACCCCGCUGUUCUGACGGUACCCAAAGAAUAAGCACCGGCUAACUUCGUG